rnacentral:rRNA from 1 species
GUGGGGAAUAUUGGGCAAUGGGCGGAAGCCUGACCCAGCGACGCCGCGUGGGGGUAGAAGUCUUUCGGGAUGUAAACCCUUGUUGUACGGGACGAAGGAAGUGACGGUACCGUACGAGGAAGCCCCGGCAAACUACGUGCCAGCAGCCGCGGUAAUACGUAGGGGGCGAGCGUUGUCCGGAAUCACUGGGCGUAAAGUGCACGUAGGCGGGCUGUCAAGUCGGCCGUGAAAGGCACGGGCUCAACCUGUGCAUGUCGGUCGAUACUGGCGGUCUGGAGUAUGGGAGAGGGAACUGGAAUUCCCGGUGUAGCGGUGAAAUGCGUAGAGAUCUGGAGGAAUACCGGUGGCGAAGGCGGCCCCCUGGACAAAGACUGACGCUCAGGUGCGAAAGCGUGGGGAGCAAACAGGAUUAGAAACCCUUGUAGUCC